UUUUCGCAGAGUCUGGGCGGCUCCUCUUCUCCCAGUAUUGACUCAUUCAACACUUCAGUAAUGGCAAGCUUGUAUUUAUUGAAUCAAUUAGGCAACUUGGCUCACAUACAGUGGUUUCCUUCUCUGUGCAAAUUCAUUGGUAUGCUUCUCAUCUUGCUUUAAUUGCAUUUAAUUGUUUGGGUUAGUUGCAUAUUGAUUGGAUGUUGCACUGUUGCAUUUCAUCCUCUUUGCUGUUAAGUUGAGCAGUUUUUUUUGGGAUACAUUUAUUGCUGUUCGAACAAUUUGUUGAUGCUGAAAAUUUAAUGCCAGGAGUAUAUGAGAUUUAAGGUUAUCAGGAGAGUAAAUGCUGAAAAUUAAAUGCCAACAUUAUAUGAGAUUUGAGGAUACAAUAAUUUGUUGAUGCUGUUGUAUUGUUGCAUUAUCAGGGGAGUAAAAUAAUGAAAAUUAAUUAGGACAACUCUAUAUAGAAUUUAUAUAGUGCAGAUUAAAUGGAAAGACCGAGAUACUUACAUUUUAAUAUCUUUAUUCAUUUCCAUAUAACGUUAGAACUUGAUGCGAAUGUAUUGACAAUACUAUGAGAUGAAUGUAUUAGUAUGUUCUUGUUUGAUCGAGGAAGGCAUUUAGUGAAAUAAAUUUCACCUUUAUUUCAAUUAAUUUUUUCGGUUAUUAAUUAUAUUAGUAUGUGAUUGUUUGAUUGAUGAAUAUUGGGGUUAUUAUUGCUAUGGCCAUAUGCUCAUAUUUUGUAGUCCCUCUGUCCCGUUUGCAUUAUUUUCCAUCAUCCGUCCCACUUAAUUUGUAUUAUUUUUAUUUUUGAAUAAUGGUCUACCACUUUCUUUUAAUCUCAUCUAUAUAUUUUAACUCUCUUUUAAUUUUAAUUGCGCAAUUUAUUUUCUCUCUUCAUUUAUUAUCACAUUCUUAAAAUUAACCAUCUUUCUCUUCGAUGCAAAUCAAAGAGGACAUAGGGAAUAUUUAUUUAGUCAGUAUUGUUGAAUUAUCGAUUUUAAUGCUGAUAGAAUGACACUGAAAACCGGUGAAUUGGAUUUUAAUAAUUUUUACGGAUCUGAUUAUUAUCUUAAUGUAUUUAUUCUAUUGACAUGAUUUAAUUGAUAAUUAAUGAAUAAAUGGCAAUGAAUAAAAGGUUGUUUACUGCCUUUCUAUUUUAUGUUUGGUUUGAAGGAAACCAUUAUAUGGUAGUAAAUUGAAUUGAAUUUUGGUUAUUCGUUGUUUGGUUUAAUGGAAAUUGUUAAGAUUAGGUAAGUGAAAAAUCAUAGAGGGGAAAUGAGGACUUAAACUUGAUGCAACAAAUUUUAACUGAAAGUUAUUAGUUUUAUUGCUAAAUGUACUAAUGAAGAUUGGCUGUUUUCAUAUUGAAUGUGUUGUAUUACUGCUUAUUGUGGUUAUGGUGCUGCUAUUUUGAUACUACUGAUAUGUGUCCUGCUGUUCAACAACCAAAAUCAAUUCAUGGGCAAAUAAAAAAUUGACAAGAGAACAAAUUGGGAAUUCAAAAUCGCAAACCAACUACAACUAACAAUUGAGACAAAAAAGGUUGAGCCAAUUAAAACAUCUGGGUAAUGGAUAAAAACUCGCAACAAGGUUGUAGUAAACCAUUAUGCACAACAAAUGUUGUUUUAUAUGAUUUAUUGAAGAAAGCUGGCAUUAUAUAACACACUAAUGCCAAGGUAUUGUUUUUUUUGUAUUUAUUAUACAGUUUCACAAUGAUAGUUAUAUACAAUUUUUUAAUCAUGGAUUGUGUCUAAGUUUCGUUUUAUCACAUUACACACACUUUACUCAUUCUUUCGCAAGAAUGAAGUGAAUCUUAGCUAUACAAAUUUAAUUUCAUAUUACAAGGUAAGGUUUGCAUAUUAUAUGUAUUGAAGAAUUUAGAUAGAAAUUGAUUUGUUAAGAUGGUUUUCAUAUUAUAUCUAUUUUUCUUGCUUUAAUUGAUUAGAAUAGCAAGUGUUACUGACAUUGACUUGCAGUUUCAAUGCUAUUUUUACAGCUACUAAGCGAGAGGCAUUUGUUUAUAGCCUAUGCCGCUUUCUCGUCACUUCUGCUGUGAAGUUGUUGUGCCCUUUCAUUUGCUGCAGUUAUGCUUAUGCUGUGAUUAACUUUAUCAACUUACAAUGUUAGCGUUGUGUUAAAGUUCAACAACUAUCUUUGUACUUGAACUUUUAACAGGGUGAUCCUGUAUAGGAGCAAUCUCCAUGAACUGUGGUCACUUCUGAACUUUUUAUUGCCAGAGAUUUUUAGUUCUGAAGAAACAUUUGAUGAGCUCAACAACUUCAUAAGGUAAGUUCCAGAUUGGAAUUAUCUGUUGAAUCUUUUUGUUCACUUCUUUUCUUUAACUGUUCUUUUUCCAUAUCUUUUCUUUUAACUGUUCUUUGUCCAAAUCUUUUCUUGAAUGUGUGUUCACUUGGUUAGGGGUGUUUUCCCCUAUAUAUUUAGGGAAAGCUUUGAUUGUUAUGAAGAAUUUAAGGGGCCUGUUCUGAGAAAAAUAAUUGUGCGUGCCACUUUUGCUAUUGUGGUGUACAAUAUUUAAGGGGCCAGAAAAAUAAUUGUUAUGGACCGUCACUUAACAAUGCUUAUGUGAACUCAUUGUUACAUAAGUUGUUGGGGUUUGUGCUGCUUUCUGUAGGUUGGGGGCUUUUGGUGUGCAGCUUUGUAGUGUCCUGCUUUAUUUGUUGCUGCUAUUUUGUGUUGGGCUGGAGUGCUGGUUGGUGUCUGAUGUCUGAUGUCUGUUGUGUGUUCCUUGGGUGAUUUUCUGUUGCUGGUUGGGAGUGUACAGCUGUUUGCCUGGUGCAAUUUGGGUGCAGAAGUAGAUUGCUGUUUUAGUGUGGGUGUGCAGUUUGGCAGUGUGAUCUGGUGUGCUGUUUAGUGUAGCAGUUUGUCUAUUGCUACUGUCUUGUGUAUGGUGUAGAAUUGGUGUGCAGUAGCAGGUUGUGUGCAUCUGUGGGAUCUUGAAGUUGUUACUGCUGGUAGAGAGCGUAAACGCCUUCUGAAUAUCGCCAUGCAGCUGAGAAAAUGUUGUAAUCAUCCACAUUUAUUCCAAGGUACUGAACCUGGUCCACCACCUUACACCAUAGGAGACCACUUGAUUACUAAUGCUGGUAAGUUUUGGAUCCCCAAAAGUAACAGUGCAUGGCUUCUUUUAAUAAGACAUCAGUGACCGAUAGUUCCUACUUCUAGGAAAAAUGGUUUUGCUGGAUAACUUGCUUCCUAAGUUGAAAGGGUUUGAAUCUUUUCACAAAUGAUUGUUUUUUGAAAAUCCAGUUUGCUUUGGUUCCCCUAUCAGUCCAAAAAACUGUCUGUGUUCUGCAAUAAACAUCAGAUGACAAUGAAUUAAGUGCCAGUAUCGGGUCGGGCUAGAAUUUUAAAUGUGAGCGAGUCAAAGCCACUUGAACCACCCCUACUUAUUUAAAAAAAAUUCAUUGAGUGAUCUUUUAGUCUAAUUUUGUAUUCCGUUGAAUCGGCCAGCCUAUAUAUAUAAUGUCAUAAAAAAAAAAUUUGUGAAGAUUUUUAUGAAAACUAAGCCUUAUAAUGACCCUAACAGUUAGCAAAACCCUUGAUAUUUUACCAUUUCAUUUUACAUGUAACAUUAAAUAAUAUAGUCGUAUUCUCAUUGUUAUAUUUAAUGGCAUUUAACGAUCUUUCAGUCUCAAAAUAUGUGAUCAGUCACAUGAACUAAAACAAAUCCGCUCUGAAUUAGAAUUUUUAAUCUAAUUAUGGAUCGACUACUUAAACUGUUAUGCCGAACACGCACAUAUAAAAGUAAAACGAGAUUUAUUAUUCUGUAGGUUGCCGAACUAUAUGAAGUUGAUCAAGGGUAAGAAAAAUGCACUCUCAGAAAAAAUAUAUACCCAUUACAUUGUUUUGCAAUCUUCUCCCUCGAUUACUGAGAUCCGAAAGGAUGAAGAAGAAAAGUGUCACACCUUAGCACAACACGAAUUGAGUGUAAUCGAAGUAGAAGUAGAAGAAGAAGAGAACAAACAGGUAACUGAAAAGUUUAGCUUUGAAUUUUCUCCAGGAAGUUCAACAGAUCAGUACUCUGAUGAUCAAGAUGAGGUACAAGAAUUUAAGACACUCAUAAAACAAGUAAUGAACUUUAUGAAUGAUCAAGAUCAAAGAUUCUUCUUGUUUGGAUUUUCAUCAUUAUCUGACACAAAAUUAGGCAGAUCAAAUUCUGGUGACGAACAGAUUGCAGAAUACAUGAAAUUUCAGGUAUAAUCCAAGAAAAUGUCAGAAAGAAAUUGAAUUUGUAAGUGAUGAGUAAGUUUAUGAUGGAUUAUAGUACAAUGUCAGAUCAAAUAACUUUAUGGUCCGUAAAGAAGGUUUUGAAACAGAGAAUGAAAGUAACAAAAAUGCGUAUGCUGAGGUGGAUGUCUGGUAAUACUAUGAUGGAUAGGAUAAGAAAUCAGGAGUUCGGGGGGAAGUUAGGGGUUGCACCUCUUUCCGCAAAGAUGCGGGAGAACAGGUUGAGAUGGUUUGGGCAUGUGCAGAGAAAGACCCACGACGCCCCAGUAAGAAGGAUCAAAAGCAUCAUAGUGGAGGGCAAGAGAAGUCGAGGAAGACCUAGGAGAACGUAGGAGGGUCAUAUUAGAAGUGACCUGCAUGAACUUCACCUCUCCAAGGACCUGACUAGGGAUAGGGGCAGUUGGCGGCGCUUUAUCCACGUCUUAUAUUACUAAAUCCGUCCCUUUGAGCCAUCGUUGGUUAUCGUUCUUUGCCUGUGAUUAUUGCUCUUUACCUCCUUCUUUACUUUUAUCUUUAUUUUUAGUUAUUUGUACGUAUUCUAUUUAUUCUAUUUGUAAGUUGCAGGUUUCUCUAUUAUUGAAGACCUUUCUCGAACCGAGGGACUCUAUAGAUUAAUGUUUAUAAUGAGUUUUCUAAGUGUCACACUCAUUUCUAUAAUUCUAUAAUAACAUCGUACGUACAUUAUUUUUCGUUAGAUCAAUGUUUAUAAUGAAAAAAAGGUUAUUCACAAGCGCUCUGAUGAUAAUAAUUUAAUUAGUCCAGUCUUGUGUGGUUAAGCAAUUUGAGUUCUAUGUAUAAACUGAUGCAUCGAUGUGCAGAAUCUGAAUUCUUUUGAUUCUAAUCUGCAGCUCAGUUUUUUACAAAUAUUAUUUGUUUUUUUUUUUUUUUUAAUGUUUUAUAUUUACAGAGUUAUCUAUGUUUUAUAUUCACUCUCCGCUAGGACAAUGUUUCUUACAAUUGUUUAGCUGCAAAUUUCAGAUUUAAUGUGAACUACCCUUCUUUUGAUAACAAACAGUAGGCUUUAGAAACUUUUACCAAGUACUUUCACUAUGUUUUAGUCAAUUGCUAUUUCCUUUAUUCAACCGUAUUGUUUUUACCAAGUGUUCUUGUUUUUCUAUCUCAGCUCUUCUCUAAGCUCAUCUUAUAUUAAUACUCCAUUAAACAACAUGAAAACGCAAUUGUUCUGAAACAAUAAUCAGCACAACAUUAUCAGCUACAAGGAACUCGACAAAGCUAGUCAAUUGAAUUUUUUAUAUGCUAUUUUAUACUGUGUUGUAGAAGUUUAAACUAUUUUUUGUAUUUCUUCUUAGAUAAUGGAUACCACUGAACCUGAACAUGUUCAAGUUGACUCAGAAGAAGAUUUGGUGGAGGUUAAGAGUAGUGACACAAUGAAUAAGAAGGAUCUUAAAAACAAAGGAGAGUUUUUUCACGUGAGGUGUUGUGCACAUAUCAUGAACUUAGUUCAAGAUGGAUUAUAAGAAAUUGAUGAUGCUGUGAUUAAGGUGAGAGAAGUGUGAAAUAUUGUAAGGGAUCACAAGCUAGAAAACAAUGUUUCUUAAGUUGUAUUGAGCAUGUAGGCCUUCAAAGCUCUAAAGGUUUAAAACAAGAUGUCAUAACACGAUGAAAUUCCACAUAUUUAAUGCUUGAAAGUGCAUUGUAUUACAAGAAAGCUUUAAUUCAUUUUCAGAAAGUUGAUGCUAACUAUAUUUAUUGUCCUAUUGCGGAAGAAUAUGGGCAGAAGCUAUGUCGAUCGUAUUUGGAUUAAGAAAAAUGAUUCAUGUUAAAUCGACAAGGAACCCAAGGAAGACUGGGAUCCUAAUUCUAACAAUUAAUUUGGCUUGCAGGUUCUAGUGAGGGGGAACAACUCAUGGUAUCUCGACAGUGGGUGUUCAAAGCACAUGACAGGAGAUAGAUCAUAAUUUCUCUAACUGGAAACCUAUGAUGAGGGAACUGUGACUUUCGGUGACAACAUGAAAGGUGAAAUCAUCGCCAAAGGAAAAGUAGGAAGGUCAAGUUCCCAUGCAAUUGAUAAUGUAUUUUUAGUCGAGAAUUUAAAACAUAAUUUACUAAGUAUUUCUCAGUUUUGUGACAAAGGUAACUUUGUAAACUUCACUUAUGAAAAAUAUAUUAUUUCUAGGAGUGACACAUGAGACACUGUUCAGGAAGGGAUCCGAAAAGGGAACACUUAUGUUGUGGACAUCAACACUGUUCCCAAAUCGAGUCUAACUCGUCUCAGUGUCAUAGAGGAAGAUCCUUUUCUUUAACACAAAUGUCUAGGUCAUGCUAACCUUAUGAUCAAAAAAACUAGUAAGAGGAUUGCCAUCCAUAAAAUUCCCAAAGGAUGAAAUUUGUGAUCCUUGCGCCAAAGGAAAACAUGUGAGGUCAUCGUUUAAACAAAAGAAUGUGGUGACCACUUCAAAACCGCUUGAAUUAAUUCAUAUGGAUCUUUGUGGACCUAUGAGAAUUCAAAGUCGUAGUGGCA